rnacentral:rRNA from 1 species
AUGUUUCGGGUGAAGCCACGGUCCAAGUCCCUUGGAACAGGACGUCAUAGAGGGUGAGAACCCCGUACCUGGCCGUCGGUGCCCCCCGCUGUGAAACUCCUUCGACGAGUCGAGUUGUUUGGGAAUGCAGCUCUAAAUUGGUGGUAAAUUCCAUCUAAAGCUAAAUACCGGCCAGAGACCGAUAGCGCACAAGUAGAGUGAUCGAAAGAUGAAAAGCACUUUGAAAAGAGAGUUAAAAAGUACGUGAAAUUGUUGAAAGGGAAGCGCUUGCGGCCAGACUUGCCCGCGGUUGCUCAGCCCGCCUUUUGGCGGGUGCACUCUUCCGCGGUCAGGCCAGCAUCGGUUUGGGCGGCCGGAUAAAGGCGUCGGGAACGUGGCCUCCCCUCGGGGAGGUGUUAUAGCCCGGCGCGCAAUGCGACCAGCCCGGACCGAGGUUCGCGCUUUGCUAGGAUGCUGGCGUAAUGGCCGUAAGCGGCCCGUCUUGAAACACGGACCAAGGAGUCUAACAUCUAUGCGAGUGUUUGGGUGUCAAACCCGUGCGCGUAAUGAAAGUGAACGGAGGUGGGAACCGCAAGGUGCACCAUCGACCGAUCCUGAUGUCUUCGGAAGGAUUUGAGUAAGAGCAUAGCUGUUGGGACCCGAAAGAUGGUGAACUAUGCGUGAAUAGGGUGAAGCCAGAGGAAACUCUGGUGGAGGCUCGCAGCGGUUCUGACGUGCAAAUCGAUCGUCAA